rnacentral:rRNA from 1 species
ACUCAAAUGAAUUGACGGGGGAGCGCACAACCGGUGGAGCAUGUGAUUUAAUUCGAUACGAAGCGAAAGACCUUACCCAGGUUUGACAUGUACCUGCACGUUCUGGGAAACCAGAAUUUCUUCGAGAGUGGUACACAGGUGAUGCAUGGCUGUCGUCAGCUCGUGUCGUGAGACGUCCGCUUAAGUGCGGUAACGAGCGCAACCCUUGUCCUGUGUUGCAUAUCACAGGGGACUGCCCCAUUUUAGUGGGGAGGAAGGAGAGGAUGACGUCAAGUCAGCACGUCCCUUACAUCUGGGGCCAUACACAUCCUACAAUGGAGCCGACAACGGGUCGCGAAGGGGUAACCCUGAGCUAAUCCUUAUAAACGGCUCCUCAGUUCAGAUUGAGGGCUGCAACCCGCCCUCAUGAAGUCGGAAUCGGUAGUAAUCGCGGGUCAGCAGACCGCGGUGAAUACGUUCUCGCUCCUUGUACACACCGCCCGU